rnacentral:rRNA from 1 species
CCGGAAUCGCCAGUAAUCGCGGAUCAGAAUGCCGCGGUGAAUACGUUCCCGGGUCUUGUACACACCGCCCGUCACACCAUGGGAGUCGGAGAUGCCCGAAGUCUGUGACCCAACCGUAAGGAGGGAGCAGCCGAAGGCAGGUCGGAUGACUGGGGUGAAGUCGUAACAAGGUAAC